AGGGUUUGAUCCUGGCUCAGAACGUACGCUGGCGGCACGCCUAAUACAUGCAAGUCGAACGAAGUAGCAAUACUUAGUGGCAGACGGGUGAGUAACAUGUAGGUAUCUUCCCUUUGGUGAGGAAUAACACGAGGAAACUUGUGCUAAUACCUCAUAAGUCUUUACGGAGAAAGCUUUAUGCGCCAUUGGAUGAGCCUGCACUUGAUUAGUUUGUUGGUGGGGUAAUGGCCUACCAAGACAAUGAUCAAUAGCUGAUUUGAGAGGAUGAUCAGCCACAUUGGGACUGAGACACGGCCCAAACUCCUACGGGAGGCAGCAGUAGGGAAUCUUGCACAAUGGGGGAAACCCUGAUGCAGCGAUGCCGCGUGAGUGAAGAAGGCCCUUGGGUUGUAAAGCUCUUUCGUCGGGGAAGAAAAUGACUGUACCCGAAUAAGAAGGUCCGGCUAACUUCGUGCCAGCAGCCGCGGUAAUACGAAGGGACCUAGCGUAGUUCGGAAUUACUGGGCUUAAAGAGUUCGUAGGUGGUUAAAAAAGUUGGUGGUGAAAUCCCAGAGCUUAACUCUGGAACUGCCAUCAAAACUUUUUAGCUAGAGUAUGAUAGAGGAAAGCAGAAUUUCUAGUGUAGAGGUGAAAUUCGUAGAUAUUAGAAAGAAUACCAAUUGCGAAGGCAGCUUUCUGGAUCAUUACUGACACUGAGGAACGAAAGCAUGGGUAGCGAAGAGGAUUAGAUACCCUCGUAGUCCAUGCCGUAAACGAUGUGUGUUAGACGUUGGAAAUUUAUUUUCAGUGUCGCAGCGAAAGCAAUAAACACACCGCCUGGGGAGUACGACCGCAAGGUUAAAACUCAAAUGAAUUGACGGGGACCCGCACAAGUAGUGGAGCAUGUGGUUUAAUUCGAAGAUACGCGCAGAACCUUACCAACACUUGACAUGUUCGUCGCGACUUUAAGAGAUUAAAGUUUUCGGUUCGGCCGGACGAAACACAGGUGCUGCAUGGCUGUCGUCAGCUCGUGUCGUGAGAUGUUGGGUUAAGUCCCGCAACGAGCGCAACCCUCACUUUUAGUUGCCAUCAUUUAGUUGGGCACUCUGAAAGAACUGCCAGUGAUAAGCUGGAGGAAGGUGGGGAUGACGUCAAGUCCUCAUGGCCCUUACGUGUUGGGCUACACACGUGCUACAAUGGCAUUUACAAUAGGAAGCAAAACGGCGACGUUAAGCAAAUCCUAAAAAAAUGCCUCAGUUCGGAUUGUACUCUGCAACUCGAGUACAUGAAGCUGGAAUUACUAGUAAUCGCGGAUCAGCGCGCCGCGGUGAAUACGUUCCCGGGUCUUGUACACACCGCCCGUCACACCAUGGGAGUUGGUUCUACCUUAAGGCAAAGGUUAAAAACUUUGACCACGGUAUAGUCAGCGACUGGGGUGAAGUCAUAACAAGGUAACCGUA
rnacentral:rRNA from 1 species